UCGCUCGGCACCUCGAUGUCGGCUCAUCGCAUCCUGGGGCUGUACAAGGUCCCAAGGGUUGGGCUGUUCGCCCAUUAAAGCGGUACGUGAGCUGGGUUCAGACCGUCGUGAGACAGGUCGGUCUCUAUCCACUGUAGGCGUAGGGGAUUUGAGGGAGCCUGUCCUUAGUACGAGAGGACCGGGAUGGACGAACCUCUGGUGUGCGGGUUGUCGUGCCAACGGCAUAGCCCGGUAGCUACGUUCGGUCGAGAUAACCGCUGAAUGCAUCUAAGUGGGAAACUCGUCCCAAGAUUAGAUCCCCCAUGGCAAAAGCCAGUAAGGCCGCAGGUAGACCACCUGCUAUAUAGGCACCACAUGUAAGCGCUGCAAGGCGUGAGUGAAGGUGUCCUAAUCGGCCGAGGGCUUAGUCCAU
rnacentral:rRNA from 1 species